rnacentral:ncRNA from 1 species
AACCUGUGAACCUCUCACAACCCAGCUAUGGUGCAGCCUACAAGAAUCAGGCAUUCUCGCACCCUAGCCAUAGUGCAGCAUGCAAAAAUCAUCUUUAAUAGGGUUUUCAUAAAGGAAAAUGCAACUUCUUUUCACAGGAAAAGUUCUUCUCCCGUCUUUCUUCAGGAACUCAGGCCACUGACCCCUCUGAAGACUACAGACAGGUUUACAUCAUUAACGGUCAUAGGGAUGAUGAAAAUAAUGUGUAACACUGGGUGAUCUAUCCAUGACCAAGAUGAAGCUUGGGUGAAACUAAGUGGAGGUCCGAACCGACUGAUGUUGAAAAAUCAACGGAUGAGUCGUGGUUAGGGGUGAAAUACCACUCGAACCUAGAGCUAGCUGGUUCUCCCCGAAAUGCGUUGAGGCACAGUAGUUGACUGGACCAUCUAGGGGUAAAGCACUGUUUCGGUACGGGCCGUGAGAGCGGUACCAAAUCGAGGCAAACUCUGAAUACUAGAUUUCCCCAAUAAAAGGGGUAAAGGUCAUCCAGUGAGACGGUGGGGGAUAAGCUUCAUCGUCAAGAGGGAAACAACCCAGAUCAUCAGCUAAGGCCCCUAAAUGACCACUCAGUGAUGAAGGAAGUACGAGUGCAAAGACAACGAGGAGGUUUUCCUAGAAGUAACCAACCUUGAAAGAGUGCGUAAUAGCUCACUGAUCGAUUUCUCUUGUGCCAAAGAUUAAUAGGACUAAGUGAUCUGCCAAAGUUGUGGGAUGUAAAAAUACAUCGGUAGGGGAGUGUUCUGCCUCAAAGGGAAGCACUGGCGUGAGCAGGUGUGGACGAAGCAGAAGUGAGAAUGUCGGCUUGAGUAACGCAAACAUUGGUGAUAAUCCAAUGCCCCGAAAACCUAAGGGUUCCUCCACAAGGUUUGUCCACAGAGGGUGAGUCAGGGCCUAAGAUUAGGCCGAAAGGCGUAGUCGAUAGACAACAAGUUAAUAUUCCUGUACUACCCCUUGUUGGUCCCGAGGGAUGGAGGAGGCUAGGUUAGCCGAAAGAUGGUUAUCGGUUCAAGGAUGCAAGGUGACCCUCUAUACAUUGAUUCAAAGGUAAAAGAAGAAUCAAAUAUAGGUGUGUACAAGGUGAGGUUGGGGGUGGAUAUUCCUCAUCAUCUACUCUAGCACAMAAAAAUYCAAKAUGGCUUAUCCAAACAUUAUAGGAUGCACAAAAUCAUGUAGGAGCGCCCAUAUCAUCAAUGAGGGUGAGUAUACCUCCUAGGAGAUAUGUUAACCAUAUUGUAUUAG